UACGGGGGGAGCAAGCGUUGUUCGGAUUUACUGGGCGUAAAGGGCGCGUAGGCGGCCAGCGCAAGUCAGUUGUGAAAUCUCCGGGCUUAACUCGGAAAGGUCAACUGAUACUGCGCGGCUAGAGUGCAGAAGGGGCAACUGGAAUUCUCGGUGUAGCGGUGAAAUGCGUAGAUAUCGAGAGGAACACCUGCGGCGAAGGCGGGUUGCUGGGCUGACACUGACGCUGAUGCGCGAAAGCCAGGGAGCGAAGCGGG
rnacentral:rRNA from 1 species